GGACUACCGGGGUAUCUAAUCCUGUUUGCUCCCCACGCUUUCGCGCCUCAGCGUCAGUAUCGGUCCAGAGAGCCGCCUUCGCCACCGGUGUUCUUCCCAAUAUCUACGAAUUUCACCUCUACACUGGGAAUUCCACUCUCCUCUCCCGAACUCAAGCCACCCCGUCCCAAGUGCAAUUCCCAGGUUGAGCCUGGGGCUUUCACACCUGACAAAGGCGGCCGCCUACGCGCCCUUUACGCCCAGUAAUUCCGAACAACGCUUGCCCCCUUCGUAUUACCGCGGCUGCUGGCAC
rnacentral:rRNA from 2 species